GCAAGAUCGCCGGGCCCCUAAGCCCGGGAAGCUUGUCUCUGACAAGGGAACCAAGGGUGUGGUUAACCCUUGGUUCCCUUUCACAGAUGCGAUUCUCCUCUUGGCCGGAGGAGAAUUAAGAGCAAAGGGCCUAUGGGAGAUACUCUCCCUAAGGGCUCGAUGAAGCUGGCUUAGGGCCGAAAUCCUAAGUCAGCUGAGGGUCGUAUUACG
rnacentral:misc_RNA from 1 species